rnacentral:tRNA from 2 species
GGGCCGGUAGCUCAGCUGGUAGAGCAUCGCUAUGGCAUAGCGGGGGUCGUGGGUUCAAGUCCCAUCCGGUCCA